UACCUGUGUGUGUGUGUGUGUGUGUGUGUGUGUGUGUGUGUAUAUACACACACACACACACAAACACCCCAAAGUUU